rnacentral:rRNA from 1 species
GUUCUCCCCGAAAUAGCUUUAGGGCUAGCCUCGAGGUAGAGAGUAUAGGCGGUAGAGCACUGAUCGGGCUAGGGGCCAUACCGGUUACCGAACCUAGUCAAACUACGAAUGGCUAUACUUAUACUCGGGAGUCAGACAGUGAAUGAUAAGGUCCAUUGUCAAGAGGGAAACAGCCCAGAACACCGACUAAGGUCCCCAAUGUUACACUAAGUGGCGAAGGAUGUGGAAUUUCCAAAACAACCAGGAUGUUGGCUUAGAAGCAGCCACCAUUUAAAGAGUGCGUAAUAGCUCACUGGUCGAGAGACUCUGCGCCGAAAAUGUCCGGGGCUAAAGUGUAAAACCGAAGUCGUGUCAUAUGCAGCAAUGUAUAUGGGUAGGGGAGCGUUCUCAUCGGGCUGAAGCAGUACCGUAAGGAGUUGUGGACUGAUGAGAAGUGAGAAUGUCGGUAUGAGUAGCGAAAAGAAUGGUGAGAAUCCAUUCCACCGAAAGCCUAAGGGUUCCUGAGCAACGAUCGUCGUCUCAGGGUAAGUCGGGACCUAAGCCGAGGCGGAAAAGCGUAGGCGAUGGACAACAGGUUGAAAUUCCUGUACCGGUGUGAAUCGUUUGAUCGAUGGAGUGACACAGUAAGGUAGGUCAGCACGCGAUUGGAAGAGCGUGUUUAAGCAGGUAGGUUGAGCUAUAGGCAAAUCCGUAGCUCUAAAAGCUGAGAUGUGAUGACGAGCGACUAGCAAUAGUCGCGAAGUGAUUGAUCCUACACUGUCGAGAAAAGCUUCUAGGUAGAGACACAUCGCCCGUACCAAAACCGACACAGGUAGGCGGGGAGAGAAUCCUAAGGUGCGCGGGAAAACCCUCGUUAAGGAACUCGGCAAAAUGCCUCCGUAACUUCGGGAAAAGGAGGACUCAUGUAGUGUGAAGUGCAGAAACGCAUGGAGCAUGAAUGAGUGGCACAAGAGAGGCGCAAGCGACUGUUUACCACAAACACAGGUGCCUGCUAAAGCGAAAGCUGAUGUAUAGGUGCUGACACCUGCCCGGUGCUGGAAGGUUAAGAGGAGGGGUUAGACUUCGGUCGAAGCUCUGAAUUGAAGCCCCAGUAAACGGCGGCCGUAACUAUAACGGUCCUAAGGUAGCGAAAUUCCUUGUCGGGUAAGUUCCGACCCGCACGAAAGGUGUAACGACUUGCGCACUGUCUCAACGAGGGACCCGGUGAAAUUGAAGUACCUGUGAAGAUGCAGGUUACCCGCGACUGGACAGAAAGACCCCAUGGAGCUUUACUGCAACCUAAGAUUGAACUUAGUUAAUGAAUGUACAGGAUAGGUGGGAGACUUAGAACCUAGGACGCCAGUUUUAGGGGAGUCGCUGUUGGGAUACCACCCUUUCAUUAAUUGAUUUCUAACGGGCCGAGUAACGACCGGCCGGACAGUCUUAGGCGGGCAGUUUGACUGGGGCGGUCGCCUCCAAAAGAGUAACGGAGGCGCCCAAAGGUUCCCUCAGAGCGGACGGAAAUCGCUCGAAGAGUGUAAAGGCAGAAGGGAGCUUGACUGCGAGACGGACAGGUCGAGCAGGGACGAAAGUCGGGCUUAGUGAUCCGGUGGUGCCGAGUGGAAGGGCCAUCGCUCAACGGAUAAAAGCUACCCUGGGGAUAACAGGCUAAUCUCUCCCAAGAGUCCAUAUCGACGGGGAGGUUUGGCACCUCGAUGUCGGCUCAUCACAUCCUGGGGCUGAAGUAGGUCCCAAGG